AUUUAUUUUGUCUGUUGGUUGCUUGGCUAUCGUAAGCUAAUCGAUUUACCUCACAUUUUGAAGUUGGAUAUAUAUAUAUAGAGAUUGUUUUUAUAUAAAUGCCGUAUCCUUGUACUUUGGUUUCCUGUCGGGUUUUCUCAAUUUUAAAUUUGGAACUUUUAUCAUUUGUUUUGCAUAAUUAUUAUUUUUGACUUGCAAAUGAACGAUUAAUAAAUCUAGUCCCAUGUGUGCUAGCGAAAUGUCUUUAGUGUAAUCUCGGAGUGUUAUUUUCAUUUCAACUUUUACGUUUGCAUCAGGAAGACCUAAACACGAAAACUUUCUUUUUUUUAAGAAUGACAUUCGUUACUUCAAACAAAAAUCGCUUUUAUCGUUUGUUUUUUUUUUGCAGUAAAAGACCGGUUUAUUAAAAAAAAACUUUCUUACAAUCGACUGAACGAAGUAUAAGCUUCGGG
rnacentral:lncRNA from 1 species